rnacentral:tRNA from 1 species
GAGGGUAUAGCUCUAGUGGUAGAGCUCAUGCUUAGCAUGUGUGAGGUCCUGGGUUCAAUUCCCAGUUCUUCCU